UACGUAGGGUGCGAGCGUUGUCCGGAUUUAUUGGGCGUAAAGAGCUCGUAGGCGGUUUGUCGCGUCGGCCGUGAAAUCUCCACGCUUAACGUGGAGCGUGCGGUCGAUACGGGCAGACUUGAGUUCGGUAGGGGAGACUGGAAUUCCUGGUGUAGCGGUGAAAUGCGCAGAUAUCAGGAGGAACACCGGUGGCGAAGGCGGGUCUCUGGGCCGAUACUGACGCUGAGGCGCGAAAGCCAGGGGAGCAAACAGG
rnacentral:rRNA from 1 species